UACGUAGGGUGCGAGCGUUGUCCGGAAUUAUUGGGCGUAAAGAGCUCGUAGGCGGUGUGUCACGUCGGCCGUGAAAACCUGCAGCUUAACUCUGAGCUUGCAGUGGGUACGGGCAGACUAGAGUGCGGUAGGGGAGACUGGAAUUCCUGGUGUAGCGGUGAAAUGCGCAGAUAUCAGGAGGAACACCGGUGGCGAAGGCGGGUCUCUGGGCCGUAACUGACGCUGAGGAGCGAAAGCAUGGGGAGCGAACAGG
rnacentral:rRNA from 1 species